UACGGAGGGUGCGAGCGUUGUCCGGAAUCAUUGGGCGUAAAGGGCGCGUAGGUGGCCCGCUCAGCGUGCGGUGAAAGCUCGGGGCUCAACCCCGAGUCGGCCGUGCGAACUGGUGGGCUGGAGCACUGUAGAGGCAGGCGGAAUUCCGGGUGUAGCGGUGGAAUGCGUAGAGAUCCGGAAGAACACCGGUGGCGAAGGCGGCCUGCUGGGCAGUUGCUGACGCUGAGACGCGAAAGCGUGGGGAGCAAACAGG
rnacentral:rRNA from 1 species